GGAUCCGUAGCGAAAGCGAGUCUUAAUAGGGCGCUUUAGUCAGUAGUGGUAGACGCGAAACCGUGUGAUCUACCCAUGGGCAGGUUGAAGUUUAGGUAACACUAAAUGGAGGACCGAACCGUUUAACGCUGAAAAGUUUUCGGAUGACCUGUGGGUAGGGGUGAAAGGCCAAUCAAACUCGGAAAUAGCUCGUACUCCCCGAAAUGCAUUUAGGUGCAGCGAUAAUCGAUAGUUACUUAGAGGUAGAGCUACUGAUUGGAUGCGGGGGCUUCACCGCCUACCAAUUCCUGACAAACUCCGAAUGCUAAGUAAUGAUAAUUAUCAGUGAGGGCAUGGGUGCUAAGGUCCAUGUCCGAGAGGGAAAGAACCCAGACCAUCAGCUAAAGUCCCCAAAUAUAUGCUAAGUUGAAAAAACGCGGUUUGAUUGCCCAGACAGCUAGGAUGUUGGCUUGGAAGCAGCCAUUCAUUUAAAGAGUGCGUAACAGCUCACUAGUCGAGCGAUCGAGCAUGGAUAAUAAUCGGGCAUAAGCAUACUACCGAAGCUAUGGAUUUACGUUUUUAACGUGAGUGGUAGGGGAGCAUUCUAACGGGGUAGAAGGUGAUUUGUGAGAAUUGCUGGACCUUUUAGAAAAGAAAAUGUAGGCAUAAGUAACGAUAAGGGGUGCGAGAAACACCCCCGCCGUAAGACUAAGGUUUCCUGAGCUAUGCUAAUCAGCUUAGGGUUAGUCGGGACCUAAGGCACACCCGAAGGGGGACGUCGAUGGCCAACGGGUUAAUAUUCCCGUACUACUAAUAAUUGUGAUGGAGUGACACAGUGAUGAAAGCACCGCGAACUGACGGAAUAGUUCGUUGAAGCACGUACCUAUUGGUUUGAUAGUAAAAUGCGUCAGACUAGGAGAAAUGCGAUAGUACUUUGAGUCUUCGGACAACGAGAUAGUGUGCCUAAGGGCUGUCAAGAAAAGCUUCUAAACUUAGAUUAUAAGUACCCGUACCGUAAACCGACACAGGUAGUCGAGGAGAGUAUCCUAAGGCGCUCGAGAGAUUCAUGGCUAAGGAACUAGGCAAAAUAGACCUGUAACUUCGGGAGAAAGGUCGCCAGCGCAAGCUGGCCGCAGUGAAAAGGUCCAGGCGACUGUUUAUCAAAAACACAGGGCUCUGCAAAAUCGUAAGAUGAAGUAUAGGGCCUGACACCUGCCCGGUGCUGGAAGGUUAAGAGGAGAUGUUAUCUUCGGAGAAGCAUUGAAUUGAAGCCCCAGUAAACGGCGGCCGUAACUAUAACGGACCUAAGGUAGCGAAAUUCCUUGUCGGGUAAGUUCCGACCUGCACGAAUGGCAUAAUGAUGGCGGCGCUGUCUCCAGC
rnacentral:rRNA from 1 species